UCGUGCUCACCAGCAAAACUCGCAACCGUGCAAAGGAACCGCGUCCCCCUUUCCACACGAGUGACACACCACCAAGAGCGCGCACAGGACUGCGGGCCACGCCGGCCCCGCAACAGAGACGUGCCAGCCGGGACACAAGAGGAUUUGAGACUAUCCGUGCAACGAGCCCCCCAGCCCAGUCACAGCGCGGCUGCCCCGCCUCUCUUCAGGACUUUUCCAGACCACCUCAGGGAAGUGAGGAUGUAGCAGAAUCUCUAGAGCCGAUUCAGUCUGGUCUGUCUGUUGAAGCUGUCAACAAGGGCACCGUCUGUGAUGUGGACACAAAUACCUAUUGUGCAGGAGCAGCAGAAUUAACCAUCACUGCAGAAAUGAAAAUCCUAUGAUUUUUGUAGACACUAUUCAAAUUUAGAUCCAUCAUUUACAAGGGUUAACUAUUGUUUUGUGUUAGUUUAAACUUGCGUGUCUGGGUCAUCCACAAACAUAUGUUCUGUCACAUGCAGAUAAGGUCAAUGAGAUGUUUUUGGUGUCAAGAGGAAAACAUCUCACAUUUCUGGAAUGACGGUGGGAAGAUUUAUAGUUUUCACUGGCUGGAAAAGAGAAGAAAGCAGAAACAUCUGCUGGAGUCAUGAGUGGAUUGUUGGCUAAGUUCAAUCAGCAGGGGAGUCUGAAAUAGAUCAUUCUGCCUUUAGCAGUGGGCGUUAGUGGAGUCAUCAAGACUAAGUACUACAGUGGAGGCCAGGACACACCUAUAGGGAAUGAAACCAUUUGAAAAAAGUAAAAUAAUCCCCCGAAAUCUGAGCAAAGGAGCCAGCAACUGAUUUUGCAUUCCUGUGCUCACACAAAUAAAUGUAUCUCUUCUUAAAGAAAAAGAGAAACACUUUUGAUUUUGAGUCUGAUAUGAUU